UAGGGCUCUUUCGGGUCUUAUAAUUGGAAUGAGUACAAUUUAAAUCCCUUAACGAGGAACAAUUGGAGGGCAAGUCUGGUGCCAGCAGCCGCGGUAAUUCCAGCUCCAAUAGCGUAUAUUAAACUUGUUGCAGUUAAAAAGCUCGUAGUUGUGCUUCACGUCCCGCCCUAGUGUUCUUCACUUGGCGGACGCCUCGUUACUUUGAGAAAAUUAGAGUGUUUCAAGCAGGUUUCGCCUGUAUAAUUGAGCAUGGAAUAACCUUGUAUGACCCUGUCGUACCGUUGGUUGACUUUGGGUAAUGGUUAAUAGGAACGGUUGGGGGCAUUCGUACUCGACUGUCAGAGGUGAAAUUCUUAGAUUUGUCGAUGACGCACGACUGCGAAAGCAUUUGCCAAGGACGCUUCCAUUAAUCAAGAAC
rnacentral:rRNA from 1 species